GCAGCUCGGCGAGCAGGUGCACGAGGUCGGUCACGGCCUGGCCGUGGAUCUCCGCCUCGGAGACGCCCGAGAGUUCGAUGCGCUCGUACUGCUCCA
rnacentral:tRNA from 1 species